GAUCUUGGUCAGAACGAACGCUGGCGGCGCGUUUAAGCAUGCAAGUCGAGCGGCAAGGGCCUUCGGGCCCCUAGAGCGGCGGACGGGUGGGUAACACGUGGACAAUCUGCCCCCGGCCCGGGAUAGCCCAGGGAAACCUGGAUUAAUACCGGAUGAGACGGGACCCGCGAAGGCGGGACCCGGGAAAGGCGCUGCGGCGCCGCCGGGGGAUGAGUCUGCGUCCCAUUAGCUAGACGGCGGGGUAACGGCCCACCGUGGCGACGAUGGGUAGCCGGCCUGAGAGGGUGGACGGCCACAUUGGAACUGAGACACGGUCCAGACUCCUACGGGAGGCAGCAGCUAAGAAUCUUCCGCAAUGGGCGAAAGCCUGACGGAAGCGACGCCGCGUGAACGAAGAAGGCCGUGAGGUUGUAAAGUUCUUUUCGGGAGGGGGAACAACCGUGGCAGGGAAUGGCCGCGGGAUGACGUGAAUCCCGGAAUAAGCCCCGGCUAACUACGUGCCAGCCGCCGC
rnacentral:rRNA from 1 species